rnacentral:tRNA from 2 species
GGAAGGUUAGCUCAGUUGGGAGAGCAUCUGCCUUACAAGCAGAGGGUCACAGGUUCGAGCCCUGUACUUUCCACCA